UGUUGUCGCCAGCAGGUUUACUUUGAAUAAAUUAGAGUGUUCAAAGCAGGCCCGAGCCGCCUGGAUACCGCAGCUAGGAAUAAUGGAAUAGGACCGCGGUUCUAUUUUGUUGGUUUUCGGAACUGAGGCCAUGAUUAAGAGGGACGGCCGGGGGCAUUCGUAUUGCGCCGCUAGAGGUGAAAUUCUUGGACCGGCGCAAGACGGACCAGAGCGAAAGCAUUUGCCAAGAAUGUUUUCAUUAAUCAAGAACGAA
rnacentral:rRNA from 1 species